AAACACAAAAAUAGAUAAGAUAGAUUGGUGAUGAAAGAUAUCU
rnacentral:guide_RNA from 1 species